rnacentral:rRNA from 1 species
GCGUGAUAAGUCGCCCUUUAAUUGUGGGCCCGUAUGAAAGGACAAACGAAAGCCCUGCUGUCUCCUCAAAAUAAAUAAAAACUGUCCUCAAGGUGAAGAGACCUUGAUUCAGUCAAAGGACAAGAAGACCCCGUAGAGCUUAUAUUCUAACCAUUUUCAUAAAAUAAAUACUCUAUAUUAUUUUAUGCCAAGCAAAAGAAUUUUACUGGGGCGGUAAAGGAAUAUAAACUUCCAUAUAAAUUGCUAACUUGCUAAAUGAGGCCGACCGGCCCAACUUAAAUGAUCCAUCAUAUGAUCAAAGAAAAUAGCUACCUCGGGGAUAACAGAUUAAUCCCCCUUAAGAGUUCACAUUGACAGGGGGGUUUGACACCUCGAUGUUGGCUUAGGGUAUCCAGGGGGUCAGCAGCAGCCCCCAACGGUAGGUUUGUUCAACCUUUAAAACCCU